rnacentral:rRNA from 1 species
UACAGAGGGGGGCGAGCGUUUAAAAUAUGAUGACUGGGGCAUAAAGGGUGUGUAGGUGGAAAUUAAUAUUAUAGCUUAAUGGGAAUGAUUGCGUAUCGAUGCAAACCUAGUUCAGCAAUAUUUUUCUUGAGAUAUUUAUAAGUUUAGUUGAAGGUGGUGUCGAAACUGGUCUUAGAUCUUAAUAUACUAAGUAAUACCGGUGGCGAAGGCGCUAGCUAGAAAUAUUCUGACACUAAUGCAACGAAA